rnacentral:snRNA from 1 species
AUGCUUACCUGGCAGGGGAGAUGCCAUGAUCAUGAAGGUGGUUUUCCCAGGGCGAGGCUUAUCCAUUGCACUCCAUAGCAUGUGCUGACUGCAUAAUUCGUGAUAGUAGGGGACUGUGUGUGCACUUUCCCUUG